rnacentral:lncRNA from 1 species
UUUUUACUCCUGCUAAUAGUUUAGCACAUUCGUUGUUGUUACUAUGGGGUCCUGAAGCACAAGGAGAUUUUACUCGUUGGUGUCAAUUGGGGGGUCUGUGGACUUUUGUUGCUCUCCAUGGAGCUUUUGGCCUAAUAGGUUUCAUGUUACGUCAAUUCGAGCUUGCUCGAUCUGUUCAAUUGAGACCUUAUAAUGCAAUCGCAUUCUCUGGUCCAAUUGUUAUUUUUGUUUCUAUAUUUCUGAUUUAUUCACUGGGUCAGUCUGGUUGGUUCUUUGCACCUAGUUUUGGUGUAGCAGCUAUAUUUCGAUUCAUCCUUUUUUUUCAAGGGUUUCAUAAUUGGACUUUGAACCCGUUUCAUAUGAUGGGAGUUGCCGGUGUAUUGGGCGCUGCUUUGCUAUGCGCCAUUCAUGGUGCUACCGUAGAAAAUACUUUAUUUGAAGACGGUGAUGGUGCAAAUAUAUUCCGUGCUUUUAACCCAACCCAAGCCGAAGAAACUUAUUCAAUGGUCACCGUUAACCGCUUUUGGUCCCAAAUCUUUGGAGUUGCUUUUUCCAAUAAAUGUUGGUUACAUUUCUUUAUGUUAUUUGUACCAGUAACCGGUUUAUGGAUGAGUGCUCUUGGAGUAGUCGGUUUAGCCCUGAACCUACGUGCCUAUGACUUCGUUUCUCAGGAAAUUCGCGCAUCGAAAGAUCCUGAAUUUGAGACUUUCUACACCAAAAAUAUUCUCUUAAACGAAUGUAUUCGCGCUUGGAUGGCGGCUCAAGAUCAGCCUCAUGAAAACCUUAUAAUCCCUGAGGAGGUUCUACCACGUGGAAACGCUCUUUAAUGGAACUUUAGCCUUAGCUGGUCGUGACCAAGAAAUCACUGAUUUCGCUUGGUGGGCCGGGAAUGCCCGACUUAUCAAUUUAUCCGGUAAACUACUAGGGGCUCAUGUAGCUCAUGCUGGAUUAAUCGUAUUCUGGGCCGGAGCAAUGAACCUAUUUGAAGUGGCCCAUUUCGUACCAGAGAAGCCUAUGUAUGAACAAGGAUUAAUUUUACUUUCCCACCUAGCUACUCUAGGUUGGGGGUAGGCUUUGGGGGAGAAGUGAUAGACACAUUUCCAUACUUUGUAUCUGGAGUACUUCAUUUAAUGCAGUAUUGGGCUUUGGCGGCAUUUAUCAUGCACUUCUGGAACCUGAGACACUUGAAGAAUCUUUUUCCUUCUUUGGUUAUGUCUAGAAAGAUCGAAAUAAAAUGACCACAAUUUUAGGUAUUCACUUAAUCUUGUUAGGUCUAGGUGCUUUUCUUCUAGUAUUCAAGACUCUUUAUUUUGGGGGCGUAUAUGAUACCUGGGUUCCGGGAGGGGGAGAUGUAAGAAAAAUUACCAACUUGACCCUUAGCCCGAGUAUCAUAUUUGGUUAUUUACUAAAAUCUCCUUUUGGAGGGAAAGGAUGGAUUGUUAGUGUGGACGAUUUAGAAGAUAUAAUCGGAGGACAUGUAUGGUUAGGUCCAUUUGUAUACUUAGUGGUGGAAUCUAAGACAUGUAUCAUAUAUUUGAGUCAUUUAUGCUUAGUUACGACUUACGAGGCAGGCCACCGAACAAAGCAAUCAGGAAAAAGUUUCAAACAUUGAGAAAUUAUUAUGUCACUUCCUAAAAGUAAAGUAUUAUUUCUCAUCACUAGUUGAAACUCUAGUUAGGUCAACAUACCCUUUUUUCUUUUCUUUUCUUUGUGAUUGUCUUCACAUGGUUAAAUCAUGUAAGUCUAGACACACAUUCUAGGGCUAUAAGUGAAGCAUAUCUUUGACCAUAGUUGCUUCAAUUAAGGAAGGGAUUAAAAAACCAAAAUUGAAAUUUUGGAAAUGAAAGGUUUUUUGAUAAUUUAAUAGAGGUUGUAUAACUUUCUCCCCAUAAAGGUUAAAAUUCACUAAUAUUAAUUUUAAAAGAAUGCAAUACAUUAUCAAUUUGUGAAUUUGUUGAUAUAUAUCAAUGCACGUGCUUCUUUUUUUUUUUUCAUUGUGACCCAUCACAACAAAAUUUCCCGUCAAUGGAAAGUUUGGAAUGAAAGUUCACAUAUUUAAGGAAGGAAAAAACUUCAAAAAUGUAUUUCUUUUACCUAAUAACUUGAAUAACUGAAUGAUCAAUUAUACAAAAUUCGUUGAUGUGUUGUUUGGCUAAAAAGGUAUAUAAGCUAGAGAUUUCAAAUUAUGUAGCAUCUUUAGAUUCUAUGUUCUAACUUCUAAGUAUUGCAAGUUCUACUAACAAGAUAUUGUUGUCACUAAAUGACAUUUUCAACAUGCCAUCUUAAGCAUUUUAGUAUUCCAUUACCUCCACACGAUCUUUACUAAAAGAAGGUCAAAAUUUGACCACUGCCUGAACAGUUCUUCGUUAUGGUUGAGUGAAUACUAUAUGUCUUUAACAAUUACGAUGCCAAAUGAUAAGAAAGUGUUGGUAACUUUUUACUACAAUAUAUCCCUUUUCUUUUAACUGAUUCCUUUUUCAAUUGUAGGAGAGUGGGACUAGUUUAUUCUAUUGGUUGAGGGGCACUAUUGAAAAGGUUAAAACGUCUUUUUUGUGGUGCAUAAGAACUUACUAAAGACAAUAUGGUCUGCAAUGCUUGGCAUGAAGCAUGAUAGAUAAAAUUAGUAUCAGAUUCCAUUUUGAAUGGAGUUAAAUGAUACACAUAAAAACAAUAAUGAAUGUCCUUGGGCACCUCCUCAAAUAGAAUGUUCAUUGACUUGAAUUUUGGGUAGUCGAACUUGCGCUUUCAGGUGUGUAUAUAUACCUAUUGUGUAUGGUUUUGGUUGAUAAUGCUUUGAAUCUUUACCUUUUGUCUUCAAUCCACUGUUAUCUAUCUGUUGUCUUUUGUACCAUUUUUGUGUUUAUGCAUUAGUAUAGCUAGUUCUCGAUGCAACAUAAUAAUCAAUGAGAAAGAAGGCAUUCAGAAUAUAGCACUCCCUCAGUUUUAAUUGUGUCUUAAUUUGAUGGAACACGAAGUUUAAGAAAAAUAACGAAUACUUCUUAAUCUUGUUAGGUUAAAUUAAAAAUGCGUGUUAUAUAUCAAAUUGUCCUUAAAUCUUUUGGUAUUAAAGAUGUCAUGUAAAAUGUUGGAGUUAAGCGUUACCAAAUAUAGAAAGUAACAUUUUUUUAAACAUACCAAAAAAAAGAGUAAAGUAUGACAUAUAAAUUAAAAUAGAUGUUUAAUUAUAUUGAAGUAAAUCAACACUUCUAGACAUGCAUUCAUUAGUAGGGGAUCUGUAAGUCCCAGUGGGUAAGAAUAGCAGGCAGAGGUUGUAUUUAGUAAUCAAGUCAAAAAAAGAAACAGAAAAUAUUACAUAGUGUCUUGUCUCGUUCCCUUUUUUCCUACCCUCAACACUUGAUAAUUUCCUUCAAUACACCCUUUUUCUUAAAUCUAAAUUUUGUCUUGUGAUGUUAGGAAAUAAUACUCCAAUCAGCAAGGGGAACCUUUCCGGCAAGUAAGGGCGCCGGCACUUGAAACAAUGGAGGUUAUUAGGGAAGAGGGUUUAGCACUCAAGCUUGAAGCCUUGGCAUAGCUUGAAGAGGCUGCAGCUCCUGAUUGAAUGAAAUAUGCACCAUUCAACAUUAGGUCCCCAUCUGUUCUCCAAUUCCAUUUCUUCCACUCGCUUUCUGGUGCAUCCUCAUGCUUCGUCACCUAUAUAUAUAACUUUAGGGGUCGUUCGAUUUGCAAGGACUAUAUAUAAUGUAAAAAUUGUUUAUGCAGCGAAUAAUAAUACAUAAAUUCUUAUGUUGUGAACAAUAAUAUACCCAAAAGAAAGACUUUAAUUGUUAAUGAAAUUGAGAGUUAAUUACCUCUUUGCUGAAUCUGAUAUCAGGAGCCAGGAAUCUGUUGCCCUGGCUAUUGAUGGUGGGAUUAGCACUCCCACCAAUAGCAUACAUUUCCCAGUGAGUAUAGUCAUUGUUCACCACAUGGAAGUAACCAUGUCUACAUCUACACGUUUCAAAUACCCAACAAUUUUCAUUAAAUUCUACUCCUAUAACAUAUAUACGUAUUCAAUUUGCUUCCUAACUGAUUUGGAGACAAGUAUAAAGUAGCUUUUUGCUUUUAUAUACUACAGUAUUUACCUUGGCAUUCUUUGGACAAGGCCUUCUCCAAAGUGAUUGAAGGCAACUGUUACUUGCAUGUUCUUGUCUUGGACAUGGGAAUCACUGUGUCCCAACAGCAUAACUUUAUCAUGGUGAGUCAUGUAAUUGUUAGAAAUGGUAAUUGCAGUGGACCCCAUAAUAGCAUCAAUCAACCCAUCUUUGCAAUUUGACAAGGAACAAUGGUCUACCCAAAUAUGACUCCCACCAAAAAUGGACACUCCAUCACCAUCUGAUAUAGUCCUCCACCCAUAAUGCUGUGGAGAGCUCCUCACCAUAGCGUUUCCCCCUUGCUUACAAUCAUGUAUGUGAAUUCCAUGGAUGAUAAUAUUGGUCACGUAUUGUAUUGUUAUGCAUGGUCCACCUUAAUUCAAAAUUUAAAUUAAACUUUUAGUACGUAGGUACAAAAUUUAAUAUUUAUUAAAAAAUUAGUGAUUAUUCAUACAUAAAUCAGAAUUAACAUUAGAUUCGGACAUUAGUUGGACUCAUUGAAUAUAUAUAUAUAUAUAUAUNNNNNNNNNNNNNNNNNNNNNNNNNNNNNNNNNNNNNNNNNNNNNNNNNNNNNNNNNNNNNNNNUUACUCCUGCAAAGAAAGGAAAAUAAAGAAAAUGUGAAAUCUUGUUGACCAUAUAUAUAAUGUACCACCAAGAAUACAUAAAUACUAAUAAGCUAAGUAUACAGUGAUACAUGAGACAUGCAAAAUGUACCUAUGUACUUGAUCAACAACAGAUUGGGGAUUUUGUAAGGUAGAAGAGGCAAAAAGGGCAGGAAUUAAGAGAAGAUAGGACAGAAGGAAAAGGAAAGAAAGAGAGGAGAUUGCCAUGUAUUUUUUCUCAAAGGUGGAAAGGGCUUAUGAGGUGGGGUUAGUGCGAGAAUUUAGAAAAGAGAGUAAAGGGGCUUUGGUUGGGACGGGGAAAAAAAGAGAGGGAAAUGGAGGAGGUUAUAAAGAGAGAAAAUCCG